GUGCCAUCUGGCUUUGGACUGCUAAGCAUCAGGCACUCACUGUUUUCCUGACCCAUGCGCCUCCUUUGAUGGCACUCCACAGGUUUGGAGCCCGUGUCCGCCCUUCAACGUACACGGCUGCGCGCUGGUGCUCUGCCAAAAGCCAACUCCCGGGGCUGCUCGCAGCUGACUGGAGCAGCAGUCAGGACAUCUCUGCCAUAGGAUGUUUUGUUGUUCAUGUGAGUUUUCCAGCCUUAAAGCAGACUCGGUAGCCUAAGUGUCCUAUUCCCCUCUGCCUGUGGGCCAGACUCAACUUGAUGAUGCGAGCCCAACGCGAGAAGAGAAGGAAGAUCAUUCAUUAGGCAGCAGAGGGCGCUGCACACCCGCCGGGAGACGAGCUGUUGAGCGCUACCGCCGCGGGGCGCCCGCACACUGCAUCCUGGAUAGCCCGUGCCAGCUGGGUGACGCCACCCUUAAAGACAAUGGGAGGGACACGCAGAGGGACACUAGGCAUAGCCAAGGGUGGGGAACGGUGGAGCUGGUUUCUCCCCAUGUCUUGUUCAUCCUAACGCUCUGUCCUGACUCCCAAGUUAGCCUAGCCUGCCCGGGAACUCCGGACUCCAGGACCGCUCUCAGUGUAGAAGAGCACCAUGGGCGAAAGCCAGAGCAGAUGGGGGAGGUGGGGAUGGUACCUGGGGCGCUGAGCCCGCACGGAGCUCAACUUUCCUCCAGGGAUGAGAUGGGGGAUCAGAAGAAAAUGGUCACUUUGUGACUCCCUCUUUCCCUCCAGGGAGGAUACUUAGGCUCGGCAUUUAAUCCAGCCGGAGGUCCGGGGUGGGGGGAUUUCAAUGGAGUCCACUAGGUCCUUGGCAGAUAGGGGGAGAUCACAUACCUGUGAUGGUUAAUUUUGAGUCAUAUUGACCAGACCAUUUGGGAAAGUGUUAUUCUGGGUGGUGUGUCCCUAGGGUUGAAGUGUCCGAUGCAGAGCCACUUGGCUUCAGGUAUCAUCACUACAAGGGACUGUCCCUUUCUCACACGUGCCACGCCCUCGUAGCUCUUCCGGAAAUGCAUCGCACAGGUUAUUCCACAGGUGCCUCUGAAAUCUUCCUCAUCUUCUCCUGCCUCCCCAAACCCUCAUUUUGUUAGGAUUUCCAACAGAGCACAACCUGAACAAAAGUGGUUUGAUUUUCUCUUAAAGCGGUUGCUAGCCUGC